UUUCCCCUUCGGGGGACAGAGUGACAGGUGGUGCAUGGUUGUCGUCAGCUCGUGUCGUGAGAUGUUGGGUUAAGUCCCGCAACGAGCGCAACCCUUAAGCUUAGUUGCCAUCAUUAAGUUGGGCACUCUAAGUUGACUGCCGGUGACAAACCGGAGGAAGGUGGGGAUGACGUCAAAUCAUCAUGCCCCUUAUGAUUUGGGCUACACACGUGCUACAAUGGACAAUACAAAGGG
rnacentral:rRNA from 1 species